GGGCACGACACCGGAGAGGGAGCCUGAGAAACGGCUACCANANNNAAGGAUGGCAGCAGGCGCGCAAAUUACCCAAUCCCGACACGGGGAGGUAGUGACAAUAAAUAACAAUACGGGGUUCUUUAGGAUCUCGUAAUUGGAAUGAGUACAAUUUAAAUCUCUUAACGAGGAACAAUUGGAGGGCAAGUCUGGUGCCAGCAGCCGCGGUAAUUCCAGCUCCAGUAGCGUAUAUUAAAGUUGUUGCAGUUAAAAAGCUCGUAGUUGAAUUUCGGGGUUAGUAGGUUGGUNAUGCCUCUGGUGUGUACUGGUNUNANUGAUUCCUCCUUCCUGAUGAACCGUAAUGCCAUUAAUUUGGUGUUGCGGGGAAUUUGGACUGUUACUUUGAA
rnacentral:rRNA from 1 species